AACUUAGUUUUUUUUACAUUGGACACAUGACCAGCAAAACUGUGCACAUGUAUUGAAUGCAAGUGAAUUGUAGAUGGGGAAGGUAAACGUUCAGAAAUGCAACACCAAAAAAAAAGUAAAUACUUAAUCAGACUUUUAUUUUGUAAGAGAACGCUUGCAAUUACUUCCUGCCCCGUGACCUCGCCCUCGCCUGGAUACGAGAAAGCGUCGCUACGGAGAGAGGGAUGGGUCUGUUGUAGUUAAAAGACACUUCUGUCUACUUUCCCACGCAGUUAGGACAACUUACUAUCAUGGCACUCUAUGGGAAACGCUUCUCGGUCGUUGCGACAACAACUCUACCAAGUUUUAACGUUUGUAUAAACACGUUUUGGUGCUUCUAGUGCACUAAUCUAUGUUGGCAUGACAGGUAAAGAUUAGUUAGCAUGCUAGAGAGCUAGCCACACAGCUUCAGCAUCACAAAGCGACCACACCUGCCAGUGACAGUGUGGCUGCAGGUACCUAGCAGACAUGGGUAAACUACAGAGCAAGUUUCGCAAGAGGUCUGAUAUCUACAGGGCAUCUCAGGGCGAGAAGGCAGAAAAUACCUUUGACAGUCAGGUGGUACAGUAUGAACCUGCCCAUCAAGGUUCCACCAACACGGUCACUAAUCUCAGCCCAGAUCUGUGUGUUUCUGGUGGGAGUGACCAGGUACAUUCUUGUAACUUACCUUUGGAAAGCUUCAGGUGAUAAAUGAACCAGUGUAAUGGUUUCUCAUUAGAAUGCCUAAUGCAAGAAAAAGAAUACAAUUUUACAUUUUCA